GCAAAACCAGUUAAUUAUGUAGGAAUCUACAUCAAUAAAAGAGAUGAAGAUGAUUGAUGUCUUCCUUUAAGCAUAAGAGCAUGAGUACUUUAAUCACCUGCUUUCUACAGUAGGUAAAACCUUUUUGUUGAAAUAAUCAACAUUGAAUAAAAUGUUAAAAAUGGAAUUGAAUCUGAAACAGUUGCACGUCAAGUAGCUCUUCAGGCUACAACUCAGGAAAUUCAAAAUAAUUCAUGAUACUGUGGGGUCAAGAUGAACAACUAAUGAUGUAGCAAUGAUUAUGAAGACUCUAUUAAGGCCGACGUGCAAAUUAGUGGCUAAAAUAUUAAGUUCGGCAAUUCAGAAGUCACGUCGCUCCCCGCAAG
rnacentral:lncRNA from 1 species